rnacentral:rRNA from 1 species
GUCCGCCUGCCCCGUGAUACAUUUAACGGCCGCGGUAUCUUGACCGUGCAAAGGUAGCAUAAUCAAUUGUUCUUUAAAUAAGAACUAGUAUGAACGGCACCACGAGGGUUUAACUGUCUCCCCCAUUUAAUCAAUAAAACUGACCUUCCCGUGAAAAGGCGGAAAUAUAAAUAUAAGACGAUAAGACCCCAUGGAGCUUUAAACUUAUCAUCACUUACUAAGAGUAAAACACAACAUAAAGUAAUAAUGCUAAUGAUAGUUUUCGGUUGGGGCGACCAUGGAGAAAAACAAAUCCUCCAAGCUGAAUGAAUAAUAAUAUUAGAACUACAAUUCAAACAAUCAAAACUUUGACAAAAUGACCCAGGAUAAUAUCCUGAUCAACGAACCAAGUUACCCUGGGGAUAACAGCGCAAUCCAUUUCAAGAGCCCAUAUCGACAAAUGGGUUUACGACCUCGAUGUUGGAUUGGGAUAUCCCAGCAGCGCAGCCGCUGCUAAUGGUUCGUUUGUUCAACGAUUAAUAAUCCCACGUGAUCUGAGUUCAGACCGGA